rnacentral:rRNA from 1 species
CAGUCGCCGCGGUAAUACGGAGGGUGCAAGCGUUAAUCGGAAUUACUGGGCGUAAAGCGCACGCAGGCGGUCUGUCAAGUCGGAUGUGAAAUCCCCGGGCUCAACCUGGGAACUGCAUUCGAAACUGGCAGGCUAGAGUCUUGUAGAGGGGGGUAGAAUUCCAGGUGUAGCGGUGAAAUGCGUAGAGAUCUGGAGGAAUACCGGUGGCGAAGGCGGCCCCCUGGACAAAGACUGACGCUCAGGUGCGAAAGCGUGGGGAGCAAACAGGAUUAGAUACCCCGGUAGUCCCUGUCUCUUAUAA